UGGUCGUUGUUGUUGUUGUUGUUGUUGUUGUUGUUGUUGUUGUUGUUGUUGUUGUUAUUGUCGUUGUUGUCGUCGUCGUCAUCGUCAUCGCCGUCAUUAUCUUGAUUGUCGUCGUCAUUGUCGUUGUCAUCGUCGUCAUCAUCAUCGCCGUCAUCAUCUUCAUUGUUGUCGUCAUUGUUAUCAUCAUCGUCGUCUUUGUUGUCGUUGUUGUUGGUGGUGUUCUUGUUGUUGUUGUUGUCUCUGUUGUUGUUUCUGUUGUUGUUGUUGUUGUUGUUGUUGUUGCUAUCGCUGUUGUUGCUGUUGUCGGCGUUGUUGUUG
rnacentral:lncRNA from 1 species